rnacentral:rRNA from 1 species
UAGGGAAUCUUCGGCAAUGGGGGGAACCCUGACCGAGCAACGCCGCGUGAGUGAAGAAGGUUUUCGGAUCGUAAAGCUCUGUUGUUAAGGAAGAACGAGUGUGAGAAUGGAAAGUUCAUACUGUGACGGUACUUAACCAGAAAGGGACGGCUAACUACGUGCCAGCAGCCGCGGUAAUACGUAGGUCCCGAGCGUUGUCCGGAUUUAUUGGGCGUAAAGCGAGCGCAGGCGGUUAGAAAAGUCUGAAGUGAAAGGCAGUGGCUCAACCAUUGUAGGCUUUGGAAACUGUUUAACUUGAGUGCAGAAGGGGAGAGUGGAAUUCCAUGUGUAGCGGUGAAAUGCGUAGAUAUAUGGAGGAACACCGGUGGCGAAAGCGGCUCUCUGG